UGAGGAAUAUUGGUCAAUGGGCGAGAGCCUGAACCAGCCAAGUAGCGUGCAGGAUGACGGCCCUAUGGGUUGUAAACUGCUUUUAUGUGGGGAUAAAGUGCGUGACGUGUCAUGCAUUGCAGGUACCACAUGAAUAAGGACCGGCUAAUUCCGUGCCAGCAGCCGCGGUAAUACGGAAGGUCCGGGCGUUAUCCGGAUUUAUUGGGUUUAAAGGGAGCGUAGGCUGUCUAUUAAGCGUGUUGUGAAAUUUACCGGCUCAACCGGUGGCUUGCAGCGCGAACUGGUCGACUUGAGUAUGCAGGAAGUAGGCGGAAUUCAUGGUGUAGCGGUGAAAUGCUUAGAUAUCAUGACGAACUCCGAUUGCGCAGGCAGCUUACUGUAGCAUAACUGACGCUGAGGCUCGAAAGUGCGGGUAUCAAACAGG
rnacentral:rRNA from 1 species